rnacentral:rRNA from 1 species
UUCGCCCUUAGAGUUUGAUCCUGGCUCAGGAUGAACGCUGGCGGCGUGCUUAACACAUGCAAGUCGAACGAACCUUCGGGUUAGUGGCGGACGGGUGAGUAACGCGUGGGAAUCUGCCCUCAGGAGGGGGAUAACGGCUGGAAACGGCCGCUAAUACCCCAUAUGCCGAGAGGUGAAAUGAAUUUCGCCUGAGGAUGAGCCCGCGUCUGAUUAGCUAGUUGGUGGGGUAAUAGCUUACCAAGGCGACGAUCAGUAGCUGGUCUGAGAGGAUGAUCAGCCACACUGGGACUUAGACACGGCCCAGACUCCUACGGGAGGCAGCAGUGGGGAAUUUUCCGCAAUGGGCGAAAGCCUGACGGAGCAACGCCGCGUGAGGGACGAAGGCCUCUGGGCUGUAAACCUCUUUUCUCAAGGAAGAAGAUCUGACGGUACUUGAGGAAUAAGCCACGGCUAAUUCCGUGCCAGCAGCCGCGGUAAUACGGGAGUGGCAAGCGUUAUCCGGAAUUAUUGGGCGUAAAGCGUCCGCAGGCGGCUUUGUAAGUCUGCUGUCAAAACGUGGAGCUCAACUCCAUUUCGGCAGUGGAAACUACGAAGCUUGAGUGUGGUAGGGGCAGAGGGAAUUCCCGGUGUAGCGGUGAAAUGCGUAGAUAUCGGGAAGAACACCAGUGGCGAAGGCGCUCUGCUGGGCCAUAACUGACGCUCAUGGACGAAAGCCAGGGGAGCGAAAGGGAUUAGAUACCCCUGUAGUCCUGGCCGUAAACGAUGAACACUAGGUGUCGGGGGAAUCGACCCCCUCGGUGUCGUAGCUAACGCGUUAAGU